AGCUUUGCAUAGUGGCAGUGUCAUAGCCAAUGAUGUUUAUCUGAGGAGCGAUUAUUGCUAAUUGACAUUUCCAAAAUCAUAGGUCAAAAAGUAGGAGGGAGAUUUAUAAUAAAUCAAACACAAAAGAGUAACGUUACUUUAAAUUUUUAAAAUUAUUCUAAGAUG
rnacentral:snRNA from 1 species